AAUGAUAGGUUUACUUCUAUUCCUUAUACUAAAGCUGCAUCUUUAGAAAAGAAGAUUAAUUUUUUCACCUCUUCUGUUCGAAAAUACAGUGCUUCUUUGAAGGUAGAGUAUGAGAUGGACUCAUAGAACUUGGAGAACUAACAAAAGGCCCAUGAGCAGAUGGAACAGAGGACAGACAUUUUUAAGAAAUAGGCUGCUCAGCCCUUCGUCUCUUCACUAG
rnacentral:lncRNA from 1 species